UACGAAGGGGGCUAGCGUUGCUCGGAAUCACUGGGCGUAAAGGGCGCGUAGGCGGCCGUUCAAGUCGGGGGUGAAAGCCUGUGGCUCAACCACAGAAUGGCCCUCGAUACUGGACGGCUCGAGACCGGAAGAGGUUGGUGGAACUGCGAGUGUAGAGGUGAAAUUCGUAGAUAUUCGCAAGAACACCGGUGGCGAAGGCGGCCAACUGGUCCGGUUCUGACGCUGAGGCGCGAAAGCGUGGGGAGCGAACGGG
rnacentral:rRNA from 1 species